GAUGAACGCCGGCGGUGUGCCUAAUACAUGCAAGUCGAGCGCACUGGCCCAACUGAUAUGACGUGCUUGCACUGAAUUGACGUUGGAUUCCCAGUGAGCGGCGGACGGGUGAGUAACACGUGGGCAACCUGCCCUGAAGCGGGGGAUAACAUCUGGAAACAGGUGCUAAUACCGCAUAACAACGAAAACCGCAUGGUUUUCGUUUCAAAGAUGGUUUCGGCUAUCACUUCAGGAUGGGCCCGCGGUGCAUUAGCUAGUUGGUAAGGUAACGGCUUACCAAGGCGAUGAUGCAUAGCCGAGUUGAGAGACUGAUCGGCCACAAUGGAACUGAGACACGGUCCAUACUCCUACGGGAGGCAGCAGUAGGGAAUCUUCCACAAUGGGCGCAAGCCUGAUGGAGCAACACCGCGUGAGUGAAGAAGGGUUUCGGCUCGUAAAGCUCUGUUGUUGGAGAAGAACGUGCGUGAGAGUAACUGUUCGCGCAGUGACGGUAUCCAACCAGAAAGUCACGGCUAACUACGUGCCAGCAGCCGCGGUAAUACGUAGGUGGCAAGCGUUAUCCGGAUUUAUUGGGCGUAAAGCGAGCGCAGGCGGUUGUUUAGGUCUGAUGUGAAAGCCUUCGGCUUAACCGAAGAAGUGCAUCGGAAACCGGGCGACUUGAGUGCAGAAGAGGACAGUGGAACUCCAUGUGUAGCGGUGGAAUGCGUAGAUAUAUGGAAGAACACCAGUGGCGAAGGCGGCUGUCUGGUCUGCAACUGACGCUGAGGCUCGAAAGCAUGGGUAGCGAACAGG
rnacentral:rRNA from 1 species